rnacentral:snoRNA from 1 species
AGUCGGUGAUGUUGUAAAGAGUAGUGGACAGAUGUGAUAUCUGAAUAAUUUCACACUGAGACU